rnacentral:lncRNA from 1 species
UUACUGUCACCCCCCAGCGCGGACGCAGUCACCCUCUUACUGUCACCCCCCAGCGCGGACGCAGUCACCCUCUUACUGUCACCCCCCCAGCGCGGACGCAGUCACCCUCUUACUGUCACCCCUCUGCGCGGACGCAGUCACCCUCUUACUGUCACCCCCCAGCGCGGACGCAGUCACCCUCUUACUGUCACCCCCUCUGCGCGGACGCAGUCACCCUCUUACUGUCACCCCCUCUGCGCGGACGCAGUCACCCU